rnacentral:rRNA from 1 species
UACGUAGGGCGCAAGCGUUAUCCGGAAUUAUUGGGCGUAAAGAGCUCGUAGGCGGUCUGUCGCGUCGGCUGUGAAAACCCGGAGCUCAACUCCGGGCCUGCAGUCGAUACGGGCAGACUGGAGUUCGGCAGGGGAGACUGGAAUUCCUGGUGUAGCGGUGAAAUGCGCAGAUAUCAGGAGGAACACCGGUGGCGAAGGCGGGUCUCUGGGCCGAUACUGACGCUGAGGAGCGAAAGCGUGGGAGCGAACAGG